AAUAGAUACCCGGGUAGUCCACGCCGUAAACGGUGGGCACUAGGUGUGGGCGACAUUCCACGUCGUCCGUGCCGCAGCUAACGCAUUAAGUGCCCCGCCUGGGGAGUACGGCCGCAAGGCUAAAACUCAAAAGGAAUUGACGGGGGCCCGCACAAGCGGCGGAGCAUGUGGCUUAAUUCGACGCAACGCGAAGAACCUUACCAAGGCUUGACAUACACCGGAAACGUCCAGAGAUGGGCGCCCCCUUGUGGUCGGUGUACAGGUGGUGCAUGGCUGUCGUCAGCUCGUGUCGUGAGAUGUUGGGUUAAGUCCCGCAACGAGCGCAACCCUUGUCCCGUGUUGCCAGCAGGCCCUUGUGGUGCUGGGGACUCACGGGAGACCGCCGGGGUCAACUCGGAGGAAGGUGGGGACGACGUCAAGUCAUCAUGCCCCUUAUGUCUUGGGCUGCACACGUGCUACAAUGGCCGGUACAAUGAGCUGCGAUACCGCGAGGUGGAGCGAAUCUCAAAAAGCCGGUCUCAGUUCGGAUUGGGGUCUGCUAACG
rnacentral:rRNA from 1 species